rnacentral:rRNA from 1 species
UACGUAGGGGGCAAGCGUUGUCCGGAAUUAUUGGGCGUAAAGCGCGCGCAGGCGGCUGUUUAAGUCUGGUGUUUAAAACCAUGGGCUCAACCUGUGGUCGCACUGGAAACUGGGCAGCUUGAGUACAGAAGAGGAAAGUGGAAUUCCACGUGUAGCGGUGAAAUGACGUAGAGAUGUGGAGGAACACCAGUGGCGAAGGCGACUUUCUGGGCUGUAACUGACGCUGAGGCGCGAAAGCGUGGG